AUGUAUAGGGGGAAGGGACAGGGAUACUGGAGUGAUGGAGGUAGAUAUGUAUAGGGGGAAGGGGACAGGGAUACUGGAGUGAUGGAGGUAGAUAUGUAUAGGGGACAGGGAUACUGGAGUGAUGGAGGUAGAUAUGUAUAGGGGACAGGGAUACUGGAGUGAUGGAGGUAGAUAUGUAUAGGGGGAAGGAGACAGGGAUACUGGAGUGAUGGAGGUAGAUAUGUAUAGGGGGAAGGGGACAGGGAUACUGGAGUGAUGGAGGUAGAUAUGUAUAGGGGGAAGGGGACAGGGAUACUGGAGUGAUGGAGGUAGAUAUGUAUAGGGGGAAGGAGACAGGG
rnacentral:lncRNA from 1 species